UACGUAGGUGGCAAGCGUUGUUCGGAAUUACUGGGCGUAAAGGGCUCGUAGGCGGCCAACUAAGUCAGACGUGAAAUCCCUCGGCUUAACCGGGGAACUGCAUCUGAUACUGGAUGGCUUGAGUUCGGGAGAGGGAUGCGGAAUUCCAGGUGUAGCGGUGAAAUGCGUAGAUAUCUGGAGGAACACCGGUGGCGAAGGCGGCAUCCUGGACCGACACUGACGCUGAGGAGCGAAAGCCAGGGGAGCAAACGGG
rnacentral:rRNA from 1 species